GAAAAUAUUAUAAAACUUUUUUUUUCACUGUUAUUUUGUGCUGGAGCCAUAUACUAUCACAGUAUAUUGAGGGUUGUUGCUGUUGCUGCAAGUUAUGGGUUCUUCUUCACUAUCACUCUCUCGUGUUUCCCUCACUCUUACACUCACGGGUGUUUGACUCACUCUCACUCACAGGUGGAGCUCUGAUACCAGUGUUAGCUAAGAAUAAAAUGGAGCAAGUGUUGACUAAGAUCAAAAUGGAGCUCAACCUUUUAAUCUUCUACAUCUUUAACGUUACAAUCAGGUGCUUUAUUUAUAGAGUUAAUAACUAACAUCUAUCCGCUAAAAAGGAGGGAUAAAGUAAACAAACUAAAGACUCGGUAAAACACUCACAAACUUCAGAAUUUCACUAACAAGUCCUAUAAA
rnacentral:lncRNA from 1 species